UACGGAGGGUCCAAGCGUUAUCCGGAAUCAUUGGGUUUAAAGGGUCCGUAGGCGGUUUUGUAAGUCAGUGGUGAAAGCCCAUCGCUCAACGGUGGAACGGCCAUUGAUACUGCAAGACUUGAAUUAUUGGGAAGUAACUAGAAUAUGUAGUGUAGCGGUGAAAUGCUUAGAGAUUACAUGGAAUACCAAUUGCGAAGGCAGGUUACUACCAAUAUAUUGACGCUGAGGCACGGAAAGCGUGGGGAGCAAACAGGG
rnacentral:rRNA from 1 species